UAAGGAAUAUUGGUCAAUGCCCGGAAGGGUGAACCAGCCAUGCCGCGUGAAGGAUGACGGCCCUCUGGGUUGUAAACUUCUUUUGGAUGGGACGAAAAAACGGGAUUUAUCCUGGACUGACGGUACCAUCAGAAUAAGCACCGGCUAACUCCGUGCCAGCAGCCGCGGUAAUACGGAGGGUGCAAGCGUUAUCCGGAAUCACUGGGUUUAAAGGGUGCGUAGGCGGUUCUAUAAGUCAGGGGUGAAAGCAUGCAGCUUAACUGUAUAAUUGCCUUUGAUACUGUAGGACUUGAAUAAGGUUGAGGUUGGCGGAAUGUGACAUGUAGCGGUGAAAUGCAUAGAUAUGUCAUAGAACACCGAUUGCGAAGGCAGCUGACUGGGCCUUUAUUGACGCUGAGGCACGAAAGCGUGGGGAGCGAACAGG
rnacentral:rRNA from 1 species